rnacentral:sRNA from 1 species
UCCCUCCCGAAAUUUGCACUCUCGGUUGAAGAGGAAGGCCUUCCCCGAAUAGAGACGGACCAGUCUUAGGUUGAGGGUGUAUGAGUAGCUGCGCUUCCCUGCUAGAACCUCCAAACAAGCUCUCAAAAAUGACUAAGGAUGGUAUAUGACC